GAUGAAGAACGUAGCGAAAUGCGAUACUUGGUGUGAAUUGCAGAAUCCCGUGAACCAUCGAGUCUUUGAACGCAAGUUGCGCCCGAAGCCACUAGGCCGAGGGCACGCCUGCCUGGGCGUCACACGUCGUUCCCCCCCCAUCUACUCCUUCGGGAUUGCAGGGGGCGGAUGAUGGCCUCCCGUGCGCCUCGCCGCGCGGUUGGCAUAAAUACCAAGCCCUCGACGACGCACGCCACGACAAUCGGUGGUUGCGAAACCUCGGUUGCCCGUCGUGUGCGUUCGUCGCGCAUCGAGGGCUCGAAAAAAUGCUCGGCUCCGGCUCGGCUUUCAACGCGACCCCAGGUCAGGCGGGGUUACCCGCUGAAUUUAAGCAUAUCAAUAAGCGGAGGA
rnacentral:misc_RNA from 1 species